rnacentral:snRNA from 1 species
AUACUUCCCUGGUGCCGGGGUCUCGUUGACCCCCGAGGACGAUUCUCCAGGGCGUGGCACGGGCAUUGCACUGUGCUCGUGUUGACCCUGCCACUACCCCAAACUGGGGCAGAUGGGACAUGCAAAUUGCUC